AAUUUGAAUAACUCAAAACGGAGAUAAAAAGUACUUAAAAUUUGGUACUGAGCCAACACUUGCUUUUUGGGUGAAAAUCGAACUGAUCGCAAGGUACUUUUUACUUAAACUUGGCGUUAUCCUCAAAGACUUGCUUUUGGGUUAUUUUGGAGUUGUUGAUGUCAAAAAUAUUGUUUUGACUUUCCCUGCUGUGGAAGUACCCAAAAUGAAGUGUUGCGUUCACACUUCAUGUUGGGUGAAAAUUUACUAUUCGCCAUGUUUGUUUCACAGCUCGAGAGAUUUCGUCGUGAAUGACGUGCCUCUUCACUAAAUCCAUAUGCAUACAUCGACGCGCAACCGCAGAUCCUGAAGACUAAUCGAAAAUAAAAUUCAGCUGGUUCAAAAAUGGAUGAAUUCAGCUUUAGAACGAAAGCGCCGAAAUACACUCGCACGGUGGAGUCAGAGCUGGGGCCAGAUAGGGGAACAUACGGAUCGCGACUGCCAACAAUCAACUCGUAGGAAGAGUACAAGAUCCGGCUAACGAACGUGAAUAUUAUUGAUGAAUAUGUUCUAUGUGUGCUCUACAUAAUGUAUUACUUGAUUCAGGGUUCCGUCAAGUCUUGAUUUAAUAAACAGCAAUAAAGUUAAUUUUAUUUCAAUUACUUCAAACAUCACUUUAAAUCAUAUUGUGAAUGAAAAUUCCAACAAUAUUUUCUUUUACGUGAGACUUGAUUUUGGGUUAAUUUGAGCCAAAACGUACUGUUUUCAAGAAAGUAGAUUUCAUCCAAAACGGCCUUCUAGUGAAACAACUCAAAUUUGAGUACUUCGCGAAUAACUCAAAUUUGACUGGUUUUACUUAGCUGUCAAGAUGGAUGAAAAAUACUUAAUUUUGAGUUUUUUCG